rnacentral:lncRNA from 1 species
CUUCACGGUGUCGGAGGCCGAGUGUUGAGACCAGCCAGGCCGGUCAUACAGGACCCUCCCCCACGACACACAUCUCAUGCUGUGCACCUGGAGGCCGUUCACGUCUCUCACGCCCGGGGUGUCGGCACACAUCUGCCUCUCACAUGCUGCCCUUCUCCCUCCCACCCAACCGGGGACACCUGACGGCUCCUCCCUGAUCCUUUCCCCGACCCCCCUGGCCUCGAGGUGCCCCGCCCAGCGGGGCGUGUGAAUAUGCAAUGGGAGUCCCAGGCUGGGCAGUGGCAGGUGUGUGUGCUGUGGCAUGCCAGUCCCCGGGGCUGGCCAGUGCCCCUGUGUGGGGCCUGUUGUGUGAUGCUUGUGUCCUGACUCUGUCUUAAGUGCACCCGUGCACUUACACUUGGCCUUAUGUACACAGCCCGGCUGCCGGGGCACGUAGGGAUUUUAGCGGAUGUGAAUGUAAAUAAAUUAUAUAUAUAUAUUGCU